rnacentral:misc_RNA from 1 species
AAGUCGUAACAAGGUUUCCGUAGGUGAACCUGCGGAAGGAUCAUUACUGAGUCUUUGAAGUGGGUUUGAUGCUGGCCUUCCGAGGUAUGUGCUCGCCCUACUCUCAUCCACUCACACCUGUGCACCUUACGUUGAAGUAGUAAUCGUGUCCCCCUCGGGGUGGCAGGCUAGGGAGACCUGGCUAAUGGUUGCUGCUUUGCGUUACCUUACACAAACUCUUUGAAUGUAUUAGAAUGUCUAUUGGCCUACGGGCUUUAAUGAAAUACAACUUUCAACAACGGAUCUCUUGGCUCUC